rnacentral:tRNA from 1 species
GAGAGACGACUUUGAGCUGCUAACUCAACACUCCGGAUUUAACCCCCCGGCCC